CCCGUUGAUGAAGAUGAGGUUGUCUCCCAUAUACUGCACGGUUUGGAUUCGGAUUACAACUCCUUUGUAUCUGCAAUCUCAACC
rfam:Hordeum vulgare subsp. vulgare, WGS project CAJW01000000 data, contig: morex_contig_1844056